rnacentral:rRNA from 1 species
GACGAACGCUGGCGGCAUGCCUAAUACAUGCAAGUCGAGCGAACAGAUGAAGUGCUUGCACUUCUGACGUUAGCGGCGAACGGGUGAGUAACACGUAAGGAAUCUACCUAUAAGCGGGGGAUAACAUUCGGAAACGGGUGCUAAUACCGCAUAAUAUCUUCUUUCGCAUGGAAGAAGAUUGAAAGACGGCUCUGCUGUCACUUAUAGAUGACCUUGCGGUGCAUUAGUUAGUUGGUGGGGUAACGGCCUACCAAGACGAUGAUGCAUAGCCGACCUUGGAGGGUGAGGAGCUGGAGUGGGAAUAAGAAACGGCCCAGACUCCUACGGGAGGAUGCAGUAGGGAAUCUUCCGCAAUGGGCGAAAGCCUGACGGAGCAAUGCCGCGUGAGUGAAGAAGGCCUUCAGGUCGUAAAACUCUGUUAUAAGAGAAGAACAAAUUGUAGAGUAACUGCUACAGUCUUGACGGUAUCUUAUCAGAAAGCCACGGCUAACUACGUGCCAGCCGCCGCCGUAA